CUGAAAUCAGAUGGAACUACCCGCUGAAC
rnacentral:rRNA from 1 species